GACGAACGCUGGCGGCGUGCUUAACACAUGCAAGUCGAACGGCAAGGCCCUGCUUUUGUGGGGUGCUCGAGUGGCGAACGGGUGAGUAACAAGUGAGUAACCUGCCCUUGACUUUGGGAUAACUUCAGGAAACUGGGGCUAAUACCGGAUAGGAGCUCCUGCUGCAUGGUGGGGGUUGGAAAGUUUUGGCGGUUGGGGAUGGACUCGCGGCUUAUCAGCUUGUUGGUGGGGUAGUGGCUUACCAAGGCAUUGACGGGUAGCCGGCCUGAUUGGGUGACCGGCCACAUUGGGACUGAGAGACGGCCCGGAGUCCUACGGGAGGCAGCAGUGGGGAAAAUUGCACAAUGGGCGGAAGCCUUAUGCAGCAACGCCGCGUGCGGGAUGACGGCCUUCGGGUUGUAAACCGCUUUCGCCUGUGACGAAGCGUGAGUGACGGUAAUGGGUAAAGAAGCACCGGCUAACUACGUG
rnacentral:rRNA from 1 species